rnacentral:sRNA from 1 species
AACUCAUCAACCCUGUGAACAUACCUAAACGUUGCUUCGGCGGGAAUAGACGGCCCCGUGAAACGGGCCGCCCCCGCCAGAGGACCCUUAACUCUGUUUCUAUAAUGUUUCUUCUGAGUAAAACAAGCAAAUAAAUUAAAACUUUCAACAACGGAUCUCUUGGCUCUGGCAUCGAUGAAGAACGCAGCGAAAUGCGAUAAGUAAUGUGAAUUGCAGAAUUCAGUGAAUCAUCGAAUCUUUGAACGCACAUUGCGCCCGCCAGUAUUCUGGCGGGCAUGCCUGUUCGAGCGUCAUUACAACCCUCAGGCCCCCGGGCCUGGCGUUGGGGAUCGGCGGAGCCCCCCGUGGGCACACGCCGUCCCCCAAAUACAGUGGCGGUCCCGCCGCAGCUUCCAUCGCGUAGUAGCUAACACCUCGCGACUGGAGAGCGGCGCGGCCACGCCGUAAAACACCCAACUCUUCUGAAGUUGACCUCGAAUCAGGUAGGAAUACCCGCUGAACUUAAGCAUAUCAAUAAGCGGAGGAA